UAAGGGUGCGUAGGCGGCUGAACAAGUCAGAUGUGAAAGGUUAAGGCUUAACUUUAAUAAGCAUAUGAAACUGUUCAGCUUGAGUUAAGGAGAGGGGAGUGGAAUUCCUAGUGUAGCGGUGAAAUGCGUAGAUAUUAGGAGGAAUACCAGUGGCGAAGGCGACUCUCUGGACUUAAACUGACGCUGAGGCACGAAAGCGUGGGGAGCAAACAGGAUUAGAUACCCUGGUAGUCCACGCCGUAAACGAUGAGUGCUAGGUGUUGGGUGUCAAAGCUCAGUGCCGCAGCUAACGCAAUAAGCACUCCGCCUGGGGAGUACGAUGGCAACAUUGAAACUCAGAGGAAUUGACGGGGACCCGCACAAGCAGCGGAGCAUGUGGUUUAAUUCGAUGCAACGCGAAGAACCUUACCAAGGCUUGACAUCCCUCUGAAGUAUAUAGAGAUAUAUACGGCUUUUAGGAGACAGAGGAGACAGGUGGUGCAUGGUUGUCGUCAGCUCGUGUCGUGAGAUGUUGGGUUAAGUCCCGCAACGAGCGCAACCCUUACUUUUAGUUACUAACAGGUAAAGCUGAGGACUCUAAAAGGACCGCCGGUGAUAAAUCGGAGGAAGGUGGGGAUGACGUCAAAUCAUCAUGCCCUUUUAUGUCUUGGGCUACACACGUGCUACAAUGGUCGGUACAGAGGGAAGCGACACCGUAAAGCGAAGCAAAUCCCAAAAAGCCGAUCCCAGUUCGGAUUGCAGGCUG
rnacentral:rRNA from 1 species